AACGAACGCUGGCGGCAUGCCUAACACAUGCAAGUCGAACGAGACCUCCGGGUCUAGUGGCGCACGGGUGCGUAACGCGUGGGAACCUGCCCUUAGGUUCGGAAUAACACCCCGAAAGGGGUGCUAAUACCGGAUAACGUCCUCGGACCAAAGAUUUAUCGCCUUUGGAUGGGCCCGCGUUGGAUUAGCUAGUUGGUAGGGUAAAAGCCUACCAAGGCGACGAUCCAUAGCUGGUCUGAGAGGCUGAUCAGCCACACUGGGACUGAGACACGGCCCAGACUCCUACGGGAGGCAGCAGUGGGGGAUAUUGGACAAUGGGCGAAAGCCUGAUCCAGCAAUGCCGCGUGAGUGAUGAAGGCCUUAGGGUUGUAAAGCUCUUUUACCCGGGAUGAUAAUGACAGUACCGGGAGAAUAAGCUCCGGCUAACUCCGUG
rnacentral:rRNA from 1 species